rnacentral:rRNA from 1 species
AGCGAACGCUGGCGGCAGGCUUAACACAUGCAAGUCGAGCGGGCAUCCUUGUGGUGUCAGCGGCAGACGGGUGAGUAACGCGUGGGAACGUGCCCUUCGGUUCGGAAUAACUCAGGGAAACUUGAGCUAAUACCGGAUACGUGCGAGAGCAGAAAGGUUUAUCUGCCGAAGGAUCGGCCCGCGUCUGAUUAGCUAGUUGGUGAGGUUACGGCUCACCAAGGCGACGAUCAGUAGCUGGUCUGAGAGGAUGAUCACCCACACUGGGACUGAGACACGGCCCAGACUCCUACGGGAGGCAGCAGUGGGGAAUAUUGGACAAUGGGGGCAACCCUGAUCCAGCCAUGCCGCGUGAGUGAUGACGGCCUUAGGGUUGUAAAGCUCUUUUCUCCGGGACGAUAAUGACGGUACCGGAGGAAUAAGCCCCGGCUAACUUCGUG